rnacentral:rRNA from 1 species
UUGGGAGCUCUCCCAUAUGGUCGACCUGCAGGCGGCCGCGAAUUCACUAGUGAUUCGUAUUACCGCGGCUGCUGGCACGGAGUUAGCCGGAGCUUAUUCUCCCGGUACUGUCAUUAUCAUCCCGGGUAAAAGAGCUUUACGACCCUAAGGCCUUCAUCACUCACGCGGCAUUGCUGGAUCAGGCUUGCGCCCAUUGUCCAAUAUUCCCCACUGCUGCCUCCCGUAGGAGUCUGGGCCGUGUCUCAGUCCCAGUGUGGCUGAUCAUCCUCUCAGACCAGCUAAGGAUCGUCGGCUUGGUAGGCCUUUACCCCACCAACUACCUAAUCCUACGCGGGCUCAUCCCUGGCCGAUAAAUCUUUGGUCCGAAGACAUCAUCCGGUAUUAGCAGUCAUUUCUAACUGUUAUUCCGAAGCCAAGGGCAGAUUCCCACGCGUUACGCACCCGUGCGCCACUAACCCCGAAGGGUUCGUUCGACUUGCAUGUGUUAGGCAUGCCGCCAGCGUUCGUUCUGAGCCAUGAUCAAACUCUAAUCGAAUUCCCGCGGCCG